UAAAUAAAAACAUUGGAUUACUCAUAUCCGCAAGACUUGUAAAGAGUGGCAUCGAUCAUGUUACUCCCCGCGUCUUGAUCUUCUUGAUUUCUCUACACUUUUAGCUACACUUUCCAAUCAAUAGAUUAUUUAUUUGACAUGGAAUAGAACAAUCGCCUAACAUCAACAACAACACAGCACGGAGGGGGAGGAAGAGAGAGAGAGAGAGUAUCUCUAUCCUAUGUUUAUUAAGGGUGUGACUAGUUCAAACGCUGCGGUUGCGGUUGCGAGAGUUUGCGGAUGGUUACAGUUUCUAGCGGUUUUAAGAGAUUUGUACGACUGAUUAUGCAGUUAGAAAUUGGUGCGUUUGUGUGAUAUUUAUAACUGGUUAACUACCAAACGCACCAGCGGUUAAAUAAUAAAUUAACAAUAUUUACAUUUAAUAUAAUUAUAAAAAUAUCAAAAAUCAUAAUAUUAUAAUAAAUAUAAAAAUAUAUUUAGACAGUUAUAGUUUAAAUUUUUUAAAAAUUAUAGAAAAUAUUUUAUUUAAAAAUUUUAUAAUAUUAGUUAAAAUAUAAUAGAUAUAUUUUACUAACUUUUAUAAUUUUAAUUUAAAAUUUAUAUUGAAUAUUUUAUUUUUUUAUUUAUAUUGUUUAAAAAAAAAAAAUGUAUCCUCCCGCAAACGCUAACUGGAACCAGCUUUUGAAUUUAUGAGGUUUAAAGCAGUUUGAAUCAGUUUAGAGCGGUUUGAGUGAUUGUUGCAAAAUACCAACAAUCGCUACCAACCGCAAAAACUACGUUUGAAGGUGGUAACAAGGAAACCAGUCAUAUCCAAAAUAGAAUAAAACAAAACAAGAUAAUGUCUCAUUUAAAUUUUGAAAUUGAACUAUACUAUAUGACAAAUUCAUAUAUAGUAUAGAUUUAAAACCUAAUUUAUAGAAUAUAAUACAUAAUUUAAAAAAUAUAUGCUUAUUUAAAAAAAUUUUAAAAAUUUCAAAACAGAUUACGUCUAGAAAAAAUCUAUGUUUUUAUUAUGUGAAAUUUAAAACUGAAUAAUUGUUUUACCAAAAACUAAAAGCAAUUAAAAUUAUAAGGGGUAACAUAUGUAUAAUUUACAAAUGAACAAAAUUUAGCACAACACACACGCAUACAUAGGGGUGCAAAUGUGAUUAAUACAUACUAUAGGGUGUAUCUUUAACACCUAAGUUGUUAUGUACAUUUGAUGAAUUAUUAUUUUUUGUGUGUCAUUAAGAUCAAAUUUCCCAGUAAAUAAUGAAGAUCGAAGACGUGUGCAAAAUAAUUUGUAAAGUUUGGUUUCUUUGUAUUUUGAUAGCUAGGUUUGGUUUAAUAAUUUGUUGUUUACAUUAUGGCUACAAUUAAACCACGUGUAUAUUUGAAAUACAUGGAAUUUUAUAAUUUUUAGGAAUAAAUAAGUAUUAGAUAAAUGUUAAAUAAUGGUUUUUUUAAAAUGUUUGAGAAAAAGCAGAUAUUUUAUAAUUUUUCUAAAACAGUCUAAAUAAAAAAAUGGAUAAAAAAAUCAUGACUUUUUUUAUUUUUAAUAGUUAAAGUAGAAGAAUGACGAUAAAAAAAAAGUUAAAGUCGAAGAAAAUGAGAUAUUAAUCUGUUAUUAUAGUUUUAUCAUUUUCUUCGACUUCAACUUUUUUUAUUUUUACAGCAAAAGAAUUAGGUCAUAUGAAAUGCGUUUCUUAGGAUUUUAGUUACACAUGCGCAGAUUUGGUUAAAAUGUAUAAACGCGAUUUACGAUCUAAUUUAGUUUUUUUUUUGGUGAAAGUUCAUCAAAUCCAUCAAAAUCAUAAAUGAAGUAAAUCAUUUUGAUCUUUCAAGUAUUUCUUGUAAACUUUGACAAAAGUAAGAUUUUUUUGCCUAUAGUUCUUUUUCAAGUCAAAAAUCAACCAUGAUAAUACUCCAAUUAAAUUAUAAAUUACUUUUAUUAAAGAAAGUCGAACUAAUGGUUUUAGAGACUUCAAAAUACCAUCCACUUAGAGCUGGGUUGCGGGUCAAACCCGCCCCGCUGACCCGCCAACCCGCAGGUAAACUGAUUUUUUUUACUUAAAAAAUUUGACCCGCUUGACCCGCAAGAAGAAAAUAUGAAAUCCGCACCCGCCCCGCUAAAAUCCGCGGGUGAUCCGCUAGACCCGCGGAUAAUAUUAAUAAUAUUAAAAAUUAUUAAUUUAAAUAUUUUUUAUUAAAAUAACAAUAAAAUUUAAUAUUUUAAAUAUUUUUUAUUAAAAAUAACAAUAAAAUUUAAUAUUUUAAAUAUUUUUUAUUAAAAAUAAUAAAUAUUAAUCUAUUUAUAAUUAAAAUUAAAUUAUUUUUAAAAAAAUUUCUAUUUAAAAAUAAUAUUUUCAAAAAAAAUCUUUUUUUUUUAGUUUUUGCGGGUUGGCUGACCCGCACCCGCCCCGCAUAAAAAUCACUCAACCCGCACCCGCACCCACGAACCAAAAUUUUCAAAUUACUCGAUCCGCACCCGCCCCGCAGCGGGUCAAAUGGGGCGGGGCCCGCGGAUAAUGAUUCAUAUUCCCAGCACUACAUUUUUUUUUUUUUUCCACUGGAAUUUUAUUGAAUGGGUUUAAACCCAACAAAGGCAAAAGCCCAAAGUUUACAAACAAAAGGCCAACAGAACUGGCCAAAGAUAAAACCCAACACACGGGCCGUAGCGAAAACUACCAUAUGGGCCAAAGCCCAAACAAGGAGAACCCGUUGAGGAAGAAGAGACACGUCCAUACCACGCGUCCGAUCGCCCAGCGAUCAAUGAACACGCGUCAAAACGCGUACCAUCUGCUUCCACCGGAGCCAGAGAAGGUCACGACGGAGCUCUGCCGACGGCGGAAUCAAAGCGACAGAAACCGAUCAACCAGAGCGGUUUACACGAGGCUCGAACCGAGGAGACAGAUUCCCAGCACUACAUCCACUUGAUAACUUUUGUUUCUCUAUUUAUUAUAUUUCAAAAUGCUAUUGCCUUUUAUUUCAUAUCUAUUUCAUGAUACAAACGAAAACAGACAAAACUGGAGAGUAGAAGCGUGGGGCGGCUCGUCGUGUUCGUGGCACGAUAUUUGAAGAGUCGUAUUGAUCUUGAGUUCUGCGUUGACCCUUUAUGUAGAAAAUUAAAAUACAAAAGAGAUAAAUUAGUCAACGUCAACUUUACCUAAAAGUGAAAUUUAUAAGAAUGCAGUGGUCAACCACGGAUCGAUAGCCACAUAACCAAAUACAUAUAUGUUUUGAUUGUGCUUAAUUUAUGUGCAUUUAGCGUGUCAAAUGAUUAUAUAUUUCGAGUUUAUUACUAUUUACUUUUUUCUUAAUUUAAAGAUAAUUACAAAUUUGUAAAUCUUUUCUCAGCUAACAAUCAAAAGUUCACUUUGUAUGUUCUGUUAAACAACAAAAAGAAUUGAUACAAAUUUUAAUAUUUACACUAAAAAAAAGUUUAAGAACCAAAAGAUAUUACAGUAAAAUUUUUAUAAAUUAAUAACUUUUACAGAAAUUAGUCCACUAUAAAAUAAAAUAUAAUCUAAUAUAAUAAUAAGAUAACAAUUUUUAUUUUUAUGUAAUUAUAUUGUCACAAUAUAAACAUAAUUUAAUAUUCAAUAUAUGUAUUUAUAUAAAUAUUUUACUGUUUAUUAUUUCUUUAGAGUGAUUUUAUUUUUAACUUUUUAAAUUCUUUAGAAUAUUUUGAUGUUAUUUUUUCCUUACAUACGAAAAAUGCUACAUUUAAGACACCAAAUAAUCAAAUAAAAUAACCAGUAUCUGUAAAAUUCAUUCUCUGUAUAUAUUCUAAAAAUCAAUUUUGUUCUUAUUUUUACAUAACAACAUAUUUCAAAAUAUAUAAGAUUGAAAAUAAUAUAUAAAUUAAUAAAUAUUAUAAUCUUAACAUUCUUAAUUUGUAGAUUUUUUUUACUGUAUUCAAUGUUUAUUUUAUAUAAUUUGCAAUGUAUCUACAAAUAAAAUGUUGUGGGUUUACUCUGACAUUAUUACAAUCCCAAAUAAAUUCGGGUUUCAAAAUAAAUAUAAGAUGUAGUGCACAGCUGUACACGCAUUAGAGAUUAUAAUUGUCAUAUUUAGGUCUUAACACCAAACAAAUGAACUUUUUGUAUAUGCUCUAUCGGUUGAUCCGGUUUUUUGUAUAUGCUUUAUCGGUUGAUCCGGUCGGUCCCGACAAAAACGCAUUUAUUACUAUAAAGUGGACUGGUUUGAAAGUGUACUACACUGCUUGAUCUGAAUCUAGAAUACCCUGUGAUUAAUGCCAGAAAGUGAACCUAUCAUCUGUUACGCUAUGCUAUGUAAAUUAUUUUGGUCAAAACCCAAAUCCAGACUGAUAAACUAGUGAUAAUUUAGUUUACAAGAAGUACAUGAAUCUUUGAUGAUCUGUUCGGAGAUUGCAUUGGGUUCUUGCUGUAUAGUUUGAUAUGAAACUAAUUUUUCUAUUAAAAAAAUACUGCACACAUGCGACAUCCAUCAUAAAAUUGGAAUGGAAAAAGAAAACGGGAACUAGUAAAAAUUAUAAUAUUAAAGCAUUGGAAUUGAAAACAAUUGUGUUGUAUUAAUCUCUGUUGUUCUUUUUGACCUUCCUUAUUAAUUAUUUUUAUUCUAAUAAAAAAAGUUUUAUCGCAUCUUCAUUUUUUUCUGACGUAAAUAAUCCCUUCAACCGGAGUCAGAGGGUACUAUAUUUUUACUUUCUAAGUCGUCGGCCUUUUCUUUCUCAUGUCUGUCUUGUUCGAGCUAUGGGUUUUUCUCGCCGCCUUUGUUCUCUCUUUAAUCAACGACAACUCAUGCACAAAAGCGCCGAUUUGAGCAAGAGGCUGUUGUCGGGGUUGAUGGUGCUGUCUGGUUUGUUGCUGCAUAUUUUCCACUCAUUUGGUGGUACAAGAGCGGAGAUGAGGAGCGGGCUUAGGAUAGGCGUCAACCCUUUAUCUAGCUUUCUCAAAUCGUUCAACCAAGCUUCAGUUUUUUUGCGGAUUUAGAGUUUCGACAUCGAUUGUGGUGGUGUGUGGAGCCCUGACGAGAUUUAUACUCCAUGUAUCUGCUGUGGCGUCUCUCCCUUGUGUCUCUUGUGCGAUUUGGGAGGUCAUGUGGUUGGUUCUCAGCCACAAGGGCAUGUGAGAAGUUAUCCUCUCUCAGAGUAGUCGCACAAGCUUAGGUAGCUUCUGUGGCAUCCCGAGACUGCAUCCACAUCGCCUUAGUGGUCUCUGUCUCUCAGUAUCAGGUUCUUGGCUGUGGAAACUCGUUCUCUCUCUUCUUUAAUAAAAUUUUUCGUUUAGCCUAUGCUCUGUGUAUGUCUUUGCGUUAGUUGUUUUUCUAGCUUAUAAAUUUAUUGGGUUAGUUAGUUUAUCUUCAAGAGAUGUGAUUGGGAAUACACCGAAACGACCAAAUUCGGUCUUUCAUUUACAACUUUCAAUCAACGGCAUCAAUUAGCUCUCUCAUGUAAUCUCUCUCUUCAAUUAAGGUGCAAGUGCGUUUGGGAUAUCGAUCUGUCCAUAUCGUGUCCGCUGAAUUUUUUCAUUUAUUGCUGUUAUUGGGAUUUAAAUUUAUGCAUACGUGUUUUUAUUACCUA